rnacentral:tRNA from 1 species
GGGGUCGUGGCUCAGUGGUAGAGCACUUGCCUAGUGUGUGCAAAGCCCUGGGUUCGAUCCUCAGCACCUCA